AUUCCUGGUGCCUGGAAUCUGUCUUCAUGGCUCAGUGAACCACUCGGGGCCUGGGGAGCAAAGGCAGGCGACAGAGCAGGGCCCACGUCUUUCUUAUUGAUCACUAAACGAAGGCAGACAUCAACAUUUCUGGAUUCAGAGUCCAGAGUGCUCACCAUUACACCAUGGAACCUCAAACCAGACAUCAACGUCUCUAAUGAGUCUUUCUUUAUUCCAAUAAAAGAAAAUGGUCAGUGA